rnacentral:rRNA from 1 species
GUAGCGAAGUAGCUGAUUUCACACUGUCAAGAAAAGUCUCUAUCGAGGUUAAAGGUACCCGUACCGCAAACCGACACAGGUGGGUGAGGAGAGUAUCCUAAGGCCAGCGAGAGAACUGUUGUUAAGGAACUCGGCAAAAUGACCCCGUAACUUAGGGAUAAGGGGUGCCACCAUCAGGUGGCCGCAGAGAAUAGGCCCAAGCGACUGUUUACCAAAAACAUAGGUUUCUGCUAAGUCGCAAGACGAUGUAUAGGAGCUGACGCCUGCCCGGUGCUGGAAGGUUAAGGGGAUCUGUUAGAGCAAUCGAAGCAGUGAACUUAAGCCCCAGUAAACGGCGGCCGUAACUAUAACGGUCCUAAGGUAGCGAAAUUCCUUGUCGGGUAAGUUCCGACCCGCACGAAAGGCGUAACGAUUUGGGCACUGUCUCAACAACAGACUCGGUGAAAUUGUAAUUCCGGUGAAGAUGCCGGAUACCUGCGACAGGACGGAAAGACCCCAUGGAGCUUUACUGUAGCUUGACAUUGGGUCUUGGUACUACAUGUACAGGAUAGGUGGGAGGCUUUGAAACCAGGACGCCAGUUUUGGCGGAGCCAUCCUUGGGAUACCACCCUUGUAGUACUGGGACUCUAACCAUAGGCCAUGAAUCUGGUCUUGGGACACUGUCAGGUGGGCAGUUUGACUGGGGCGGUCGCCUCCCAAAAGGUAACGGAGGCGCUCAAAGGUUCUCUCAGUACGGUCGGAAAUCGUACGUAGAGUGUAAAGGCAAAAGAGAGCUUGAUUGCAAGACAUACAGGUCGAGCAAGGAUGAAAAUCGGACUUAGUGAUCCGGUGGUUCUGCGUGGAAGGGCCAUCGCUCAACGGAUAAAAGCUACCCUGGGGAUAACAGGCUUAUCUCCCCCAAGAGUCCACAUCGACGGGGAGGUUUGGCACCUCGAUGUCGGCUCAUCACAUCCUGGGGCUGUAGUAGGUCCCAAGGGUUGGGCUGUUCGCCCAUUAAAGUGGUACGCGAGCUGGGUUCAGAACGUCGUGAGACAGUUCGGUCCCUAUCCGUCGCAGGCGUAGGAAAUUUGAGAAGACCUGUCCUUAGUACGAGAGGACCGGGAUGGACG